rnacentral:rRNA from 1 species
GACGAACGCUGGCGGCGUGCUUAACACAUGCGAGUCGAACGGAAAGGCCUGCUUUCCCUUGUGGAUUGCGGGUACUCGAGUGGCGAACGGGUGAGUAACACGUGAGUGAUCUGCCCCCAACUUGGGUAUAAGCCUGGGAAACUGGGUCUAAUUCCCGAUAGGACUGCAGGGUGGUGCCUGUGGUGGAAAACGAUUUUCUAGUGGUUGGGGAUGAGCUCGCGGCCUAUCAGCUUGUUGGUGGGGUAAUGGCCUACCAAGGCGGCGACGGGUAGCCGGCCUGAGAGGGUGGACGGCCACAUUGGGACUGAGAGACGGCCCAGACUCCUACGGGAGGCAGCAGUGGGGAAUAUUGCACAAUGGGCGGAAGCCUGAUGCAGCGACGCCGCGUGGGGGAUGACGGCCUUCGGGUUGUAAACUCCUUUCGACCGCGAGGAAGCCACCUGGUUGGAAGGGUGGUGACGGUAGUGGUAGAAGAAGCACCGGCUAACUACGUG